rnacentral:rRNA from 1 species
AUUGAACGCUGGCGGCAUGCCUAACACAUGCAAGUCGAACGGUAACAGGAAACAGCUUGCUGUUUCGCUGACGAGGGGCGGGCGUGUGAGAAAUGUGUGGGAAACUGCUUUAUGGAGGGGGAUAACUAGUGAAAACGGUAGCUAAUACCGCAUAACUUCUCAAGACCAAAGAGGGGUAGUGACGGGCGGCUUGCCAGCGGAUGCUCCCAGGUUGUAUUAGCUAGUAGGUGGGGUAACGGCUCACCUAGUCGACGAGCCAUAGCGGGUCUGAGAGGAUGACCGGCCACACUGGAACUGAGACACGGUCCAGACUCCUACGGGAGGCAGCAGUGGGGAAUAUUGCGCAAUGGGCGAAAGCCUGACGCAGCCAUGCCGCGUGUGUGAUGAAGGCCUUCGGAUUGUAAAGUCCUUUCAGCGGGGAGGAAGGGAGUAAAGUUAAUACCUUGACUCAUUGACGUUACCCGCUGAAGAAGCACCGGCUAACUACGUG